AUAUAAGUAAGUUGUAAUGGCGCCUAGACGGUGAUUUUUGUCCAUUGUUAAAUUUUGCAAAAUGGAGAAUGUUUCAUCUCUUAAACAACCAGAAGGAAGUUAUAUAACUUCAAAUUAUGAAGCUUCACAAGCAGCCCAGCAAGGAAACCAGUCACUUACUUCUCAAGGGGUUGACAGUUCUGUACGGGUGCCACAUGAUGGCGAAAGGGCAUUCAAAGCAAUUUCGGAAGGAAAGGCAUGGUCAGACAAAGCAGUUGUGCUGGAAAACAAGAGUGCGUCUCAACUGAGCACAGGUUUAAGUCAACUAGGUGAUUACUCUUCUGGUAGCGACUCCGAGGAGGCAGAGAAUUCUAAAGCUGCAGAUGAGGCCAUUGAAUCCAGAGUUGCAGAUACCCAGAACAAAUUUUCCUCUGAAACUUCAGAGCAGAGUAAAGUCAGUGGUGGUGAUUCUAAAAAAGUAAUGAAUAUCGAUGAAGAAGCUAUGGAAUGUACAGAGACCAAAGAGGAAAUUGAUCCACAAAGUAAAGAACUUGAAGCAGAUGUCACCAAAUCACAAAUCAUUCAAGACAAAAAGGAGGAUGCGUCAUCCGACAAAGAUGACGACAAAAAAUCAGAGGUGGAGCCUUCACAAGAUGUUUCUCCCUCAAUACUAACAGACAGGGACCAAGACCUUGCAGACCCAAAAGCUUCAGCAGAAAAGUCUGAUGUAUCUGAGCUAACAGCUUCAGAAAGAAGUAAGAGGUCUGAAUCAACUGGGUUUGAUGUGCAAGACCCAGUGGAUACCCCGGCCAUAAGGAAGCCUUCAAAGGUGGAAAUGAUCGACGAAGAGUCUAAUGCGAGCUUUAUCAAACUAGACGGUAAAACAAAGGAUUCUCCCUUGAACUUUGAUGUUCCACCCUCUCCAUAUGGAGUGUCGGAGAUCUCAGAGACACCCGGACCAGGGACCCCAGCCUCUGUUGUCAGCAACGGAGACAGUGUUUCCUACCAAGCAUUUGACAACUUUGGACCUCCUACUCCAUCGUCAGUGGCAGAUAACUCAUCGAUGGGACCAACUCCCUCAAAACGGUCCAGACUGGCUGUUUACACGCCCAGCCAAGAACACAUCACAGCCAGUAAGUUAUUUGAAUACCAAUGAACACUGCCAUGUUUGAUCCCCCUAAACGAAUGGGGACCACCCUGGCUAACCCUCAGGAACAGCCAGAACCAGAGACUGCCUCAGAGGAGGAUGAAAAUGGUUCGGGGUCAGAUUCUGAUUCAGAUGACAGUAGUAGUGGAUCAGAGGGGACAAGUGGAGCAGAGGAUGGAGAGAAAAAGUCAGGUGAAACAAAGGAAGCUGCCCCAGUUGAUUCAAGUGUCUGCUCUAUCUGUACACAAGGUCAAAAUUCAGAGGUCAAAGGUGAAUCUGAUCUGGUUGUCUGCUCAGAGUGCAAUAAGGGAGGUCACCCGGGCUGUUUGGACCUGACCAAUGAGAUGGUGACCGUCAUAAAGACCUAUCCCUGGCAGUGUAUGGACUGUAAGACCUGCGUGGAGUGCAUGGACCCUUACGAUGAGGACAAAAUGAUGUUCUGUGACCUGUGUGACCGAGGGUAUCACACCUUCUGUGUGGGGCUUAAGUCUAUCCCCACUGGACACUGGAAGUGCAAAAGCUGUAAGGGACCAGAGACCCCAAAACCGUCCAAGAGCAGCAAGACUCCGAAAUCCUCCAAGUCUGGGACGGGGAAAAAGCGAGGAAGGCCACCACUGAAGAAGAAGGACAAGAAGAAGUCAAAGAAGAAGAUAAUACCUAAAGAAGAAGCAGAGGAUGCAGAGGAUGACACAGCAGAGACGAAGGAGGAUGAAGAGGGUGAGGAAGAAGGUGGUGAAGAGAAAGGGGAGGAAGGGAAAGGAGAGGAGGAGGAAGAAGAGGAGAUGGAGGCUGAGGAGUCUCAGGAGUGAAGAGGAGGAGCGAAGACCUCUGAAGAGACUGGAGGACAGGAUUGAUUGACCCAGCAGCAGGGCCACAAUGCAGCUUUAAGCACAUGUUACAUGGCAAGAAGGAGGGACAUUUUCUGAACUAGCUUUCAGUGUUAGACAUGUGGAAAAAAAAUGCUUGGCAAGUAGAAAGAUGACAGGUACAUGGCACAUGUUACAUUUAUGUAAAAAAAAAAGUGCUGAUUUGUCAGUUAUUUAAACAAUGAAAAGUACAGUAUCAAUACAGGUGUACGUGCAUGUAUGUUUUUUUUUAUUGUGAUCUACAUUCUUGUAAUAAAGAUUCAUAAAAUAUU
rnacentral:misc_RNA from 1 species